rnacentral:rRNA from 1 species
GACGAACGCUGGCGGCGUGCCUAACACAUGCAAGUCGAACGGAAAACAUAGCAAUAUGUUUUUAGUGGCGAACGGGUGAGUAACGCGUAGACAACCAACCUUUUUGUGGGGGACAACACUUCGAAAGGAGUGCUAAUACCGCAUACGCUCCAGAUGCCGCCUGGUGUUUGGAGGAAAGGAGCUGUAAGGCUUCGCAAAAAGACGGGUCUGCGUCUGAUUAGCCAGUUGGGGGGGUAACGGCCCACCAAGGCGACGACCAGUAGCCGGUCUGAGAGGAUGGGCGGCCAAACUGGGACUGAGAAACGGCCCAGACUACUACGGGGGGCAGCAGUGGGGAAUCUUCCGCAAUGGACGAAAGUCUGACGGAGCGACGCCGCGUGAGUGAUGAAGGCCCGUGGGUCGUAAAGCUCUGUCAUCAGGGACGAACGGUCACGUCAGGAAAUGGGCGUGAAUUGACGGUACCUGAGAAGGAAGCCACGGCUAACUACGUGCCAGCCGCCGCCGUA